UAUGCUUAAGGAGGGGCUUGCGACACAUUAGUUAGUUGGCAGGGCAAAGGCCUACCAAGACUAUGAUGUGUAGCUGGACUGAGAGGUUGAACAGCCACAUUGGGACUGAGACACGGCCCAUACUCCUACGGGAGGCAGCAGUAGAGAAUUUUCGGCAAUGGAGGAAACUCUGACCGAGCAACGCCGCGUGAACGAUGAAGUACCUCGGUAUGUAAAGUUCUUUUAUUAAGGAAGAAAAAAGAGUGGAAAAACUCCCUUGACGGUACUUAAUGAAUAAGCCCCGGCUAAUUAUGUGCCAGCAGCCGCGGUAAUACAUAAGGGGCGAGCGUUAUCCGGAAUUAUUGGGCGUAAAGGGUGCGUAGGCGGUUUAAUAAGUCUAUAGUUUAAUUUCAGUGCUUAACGCUGUUGUGCUAUAGAAACUGUUUUACUAGAGUGAGAUAGAGGCAAGCGGAAUUCCAUGUGUAGCGGUAAAAUGCGUAAAUAUAUGGAGGAACACCAGAGGCGUAGGCGGCUUGCUGGGUCUUUACUGACGCUGAGGCACGAAAGCGUGGGGAGCAAACAGGAUUAGAUACCCUGGUAGUCCACGCCGUAAACGAUGAGUACUAAGUGUCGGGUAAAACUGGUACUGAAGUUAACACAUUAAGUACUCCGCCUGAGUAGUACGUACGCAAGUAUGAAACUUAAAGGAAUUGACGGGACUCCGCACAAGCGGUGGAUCAUGUUGUUUAAUUCGAAGAUACACGAAAAACCUUACCAGGUCUUGACAUUUUCUUGCGAAAUUAUAGAAAUAUAAUGGAGGUUAUCAGGAAAACAGGUGGCGCAUGGUUGUCGUCAGCUCGUGUCGUGAGAUGUUAGGUUAAGUCCUAAAACGAGCGCAACCCUUGUCGUUAAUUGCCAGCAUGUAAUGAUGGGGACUUUAACGAGACUGCCAAUGAAAAAUUGGAGGAAGGUGGGGAUUACGUCAAAUCAUCAUGCCCCUUAUGAUCUGGGCUACAAACGUGAUACAAUGGUUGAUACAAAGAGUAGCUGAAACGCGAGUUCUUAGCCAAUCUCAAAAAAUCAAUCUCAGUUCGGAUUGAAGUCUGCAACUUGACUUCAUGAAGUUGGAAUCGCUAGUAAUCGCGAAUCAGCAUGUCGCGGUGAAUACGUUCGCGGGGUUUGUACACACCGCCCGUCAAAUCACUAGU
rnacentral:rRNA from 1 species